rnacentral:rRNA from 1 species
UGGCGGCAGGCCUAACACAUGCAAGUCGAGCGCGCCCUUCGGGGUGAGCGGCGGACGGGUUAGUAACGCGUGGGAAUAUACCCUUUUCUGCGGAAUAGCCUCUGGAAACGGAGAGUAAUACCGCAUACGCCCUUCGGGGGAAAGAUUUAUCGGGGAAGGAUUAGCCCGCGUUAGAUUAGGUAGUUGGUGGGGUAAUGGCCUACCAAGCCUACGAUCUAUAGCUGGUUUUAGAGGAUGAUCAGCAACACUGGGACUGAGACACGGCCCAGACUCCUACGGGAGGCAGCAGUGGGGAAUCUUGGACAAUGGGCGCAAGCCUGAUCCAGCCAUGCCGCGUGAGUGAUGAAGGCCUUAGGGUCGUAAAGCUCUUUCGCCUGUGAAGAUAAUGACGGUAGCAGGUAAAGAAACCCCGGCUAACUCCGUGCCAGCAGCCGCGGUAAUACGGAGGGGGUUAGCGUUGUUCGGAAUUACUGGGCGUAAAGCGCACGUAGGCGGACUGGAAAGUUGGGGGUGAAAUCCCAGGGCUCAACCCUGGAACUGCCUCCAAAACUAUCAGUCUAGAGUUCGAGAGAGGUGAGUGGAAUUCCGAGUGUAGAGGUGAAAUUCGUAGAUAUUCGGAGGAACACCAGUGGCGAAGGCGGCUCACUGGCUCGAUACUGACGCUGAGGUGCGAAAGUGUGGGGAGCAAACAGGAUUAGAUACCCUGGUAGUCCACACCGUAAACGAUGAAUGCCAGUCGUCGGGUAGCAUGCUAUUCGGUGACACACCUAACGGAUUAAGCAUUCCGCC